rnacentral:rRNA from 1 species
CUACGGGUCGCUGCAGUAGGGAAUUUUCGGCAAUGGGGGAAACCCUGACCGAGCAACGCCGCGUGAAUGACGAAGUACUUCGGUAUGUAAAGUUCUUUUAUCAGGGAAGAAUGACUUAUGGAAAAAUAGGUGUGACGGUACCUGAUGAAUAAGCCCCGGCUAACUAUGUGCCAGCAGCCGCGGUAAUACAUAGGGGGCAAGCGUUAUCCGGAAUUAUUGGGCGUAAAGGGUGCGUAGGGGGUUAGAUAAGUCUUAGGUGUAAGUGCAGAGCUUAACUCUGUGAUGCUAGAGAAACUGUCUGACUUGAGUGUGGUAGAGGGAAGUGGAAUUCCAUGUGUAGCGGUAAAAUGCGUAAAUAUAUGGAGGAACACCAGUGGCGAAGGCGGCUUGCUGGGCCAUAACUGACACUGAGGCACGAAAGCGUGGGGAGCAAACAGGAUUAGAUACCCUAGUAGUC